rnacentral:rRNA from 1 species
UACGAAGGGGGCUAGCGUUGUUCGGAAUCACUGGGCGUAAAGCGCACGUAGGCGGAUGUGCCAGUCAGGGGUGAAAUCCCGGAGCUCAACUUCGGAACUGCCUCUGAUACAGCACGUCUUGAGUCCGGAAGAGGUGGGUGGAAUUCCUAGUGUAGAGGUGAAAUUCGUAGAUACCGGGAGGAAUACCAGUAGCGAAGGCGGCCUUCUGGACGAAGACUGACGCUCAGACGCGAAAGCGUGGGGAGCAAACAGG